AUUCAUGUGUGUACAUUAUCUCUUUAUGAAAAAAAAUCUAAAUAUAUGUGACUUAGAAAAGUGUAAAAUCAUGUCAUUUUACAUUAUGAAUGAAAGUUUGUUUGUCUUUUCAGUUGAAGCUUUUCCUUGUGACCUUAUAAUGAUUCAGACGUCAACCUCUGACAUUCUUUAAUGAGGUUACUUGACUCUUCCCUUCAUUUUAGGCUACAGGGAACAUCUCUAACAGGUUCAGUAUAUAAACCCAUUGGAACUUCACUGUCCAAGGUUAGCUAAUCCCCAAGUGACACAAAUGCUCAUAUAAACAAGGAGUCCUACCCAUGUGACCACCAGCUUACACAGCGUCACCAAGUCUUUAUAAACCACACAUGGGACGACUCCUACGGGACAUCACGACAGGCCAGGUGUGUGCUCUCUGAACCAGGGGGCAGCGUGUCUCCGGACACCAGGGAGAGCUGCUUUUGAAACUCCCAAAAGCAGGAGAAGAUCAAGGGAAAAGGAAGCAGAGGAAGUUGCCAAGCAGAGGGUCCUAAGGGCUUUUUGGCUGCACUGCAUUCAUCCCAGCUGUAAGAGACUUUGGAGACAUUCACCAUGUUUUUUCGCAUCCUUCCUCGAUUGACCCCUGGAUAUAUCAGAUACCUCCAGACCCAGGCAGCUCAGACCGUCCUGCAGCCCCGGGAUGGCCCUUUGAUGCCCCGCACAGCUCUCCUCCUGGGACUGACGGGCGUGGGCAUGUCCGGAUACAGCACCCGCCAGCUCACUCUCAACUACAAGCCUGCCAGUCACCUCUUUAAAUAAGAUGCAUAGUCAUGUAAAAUAUUUUUUUUAUUAUUACACCCAUAAUACAUCUGUGGUUUAAGUCUAACAUCAUCCUAGUUCUGGUUUAUUAAGUUAUUGCCUUAAGGUUUAAGUUUGUGUGAAUAAGUGGAUAUGUCCCACAUUAAAAACUACCUCAGGUCUAACACGUUGUAUGUGAGCAUGCAGUGAAACAGAAAGGCAGCUAUGGAUGAUAUUUUUAUUGAAUUAUUUGGAUGAUCUCAGGCUUGAACCACUUUUUGUAGCUAAUGUCAUAUAUUUUUUAACAUUUGCUUAGAAUAAUGUACUUAAAAUGUACUUUCAAAUAAGCAUAAAUGUCUGAUUAAUUUCUAUGUCCAUCCUCAAUUGGAGUGACAAAUGAUCCGAAGCAACAUUCACUUCUUCAGAGGAUCAAAGUUCAAAUAACAUUUUCUAUUUGAUUCUGGAAUUUGAUUGUUGAGUUCAGAUAUUUGCCUCCUGCAAUGUAUUAUUCUAAAUUCUUAAGAAUUCUAAAUCAUUCAUGGUGAGGGUGCCAGGUAGCUGUGCAUAAUCCUCCUUGCUAAAUUAAUAUAUAUAUGUAUAUAGUUAUGGUUAUGAUGUAUUUGCACAUUAAUGUCCCACCCUUUAAAUUCUAUGCACUUUACUGAUGUGUAAUAUGCUGUAUAUAUGCAAUACAUAUCACUUGAUGCUGAAUGAGAUUAGUAGAACUGACAUUGUACACUAACAGCUUUUGUCUUUUGCUGGGCUGGGGGACUUCUGGCUGUAUUGACUCUUUUGAAGGGUAAGUAACCUGGACAACCACCCUGGAUACUACUCUGUGAAUGAAUGCACCUGGGAGUCCCCCUUUAGAGUGGCAUUGUCAAGAGAUUUGAAAGUAGAUGACUGGCUUUAAAAGCCUCCUAAUAGAUAUAGAACAUAUUUUGUUAAUUUAUUACAUGCUUUAUGCCAUGCUUUACUGCUUUACCUUGACAGCGAUUGAAUGUACCACUGACAAUGAAUGUUAAUAGGUUAGAUGGAACAGUAUUUUUGUAGUUGAGGAUUUGGCCAUUUUAGACUGGUGUACUGAUGUACCAAAUGAAAAAAUCCAGCUCUAAAAUAAUAACCUCUCUAUCUCACAAUGGUGACGCAAACGAAUAAAAAUAAAAAAGGUUGCAAGGUUAGAGCACCAAGGCUGUGAUCCUAUUAGGGUCAAUGUCAUUUAUAGACUGGCUUAAACCUGUAUAUAAGAGAGGUCCUUGACUUGAAAUGGAGACAAGUAAGUGUGACAAAGCAAAAAGAACUGUUAUUCAUAGUACUCCCUUUGACAUGACAAACAAUGUUGCGUACAAAUUGUAAAUUCUCAUUCUGUAAUAUUUAAUUUACAGAUUUUCUUUAGUUUUCAUAAAUUAAUUCUCAAAUGCAUUAGACAGUAUUUCCUUUUUGUGAAUCGUCCACAGAUACCCCACAGAUUCUUCACUGUUGUAUGUUGUUGGUUUGUAACAGUUAUGUAUUUUUAAUAUUUUGCAUAUUUGCACAUUGGAGUAUUUAUACAUGAUUUGUAAUGUGUUUGAUUGUUUGAAAAAGCACCUUUGGAUUGCUAUGCAACAAUUAAAGUUAAUGUAUGGCAGAAUAAAACUGCAUUUGUGUUAUAAAUGAA